GGGGGGGGGGGGGGGGGGGCGGGGGGCAGGGAAGGCGAGCGGAGAGACGAGGAGCGUGCUGCUCUGACGUUAGCGGCGGACGGGUGAGUAACACGUGGAUAACCUACCUAUAAGACUGGGAUAACUUCGGGAAACCGGAGCUAAUACCGGAUAAUAUAUUGAACCGCAUGGUUCAAUAGUGAAAGACGGUUUUGCUGUCACUUAUAGAUGGAUCCGCGCCGCAUUAGCUAGUUGGUAAGGUAACGGCUUACCAAGGCGACGAUGCGUAGCCGACCUGAGAGGGUGAUCGGCCACACUGGAACUGAGACACGGUCCAGACUCCUACGGGAGGCAGCAGUAGGGAAUCUUCCGCAAUGGGCGAAAGCCUGACGGAGCAACGCCGCGUGAGUGAUGAAGGUCUUCGGAUCGUAAAACUCUGUUAUUAGGGAAGAACAAAUGUGUAAGUAACUAUGCACGUCUUGACGGUACCUAAUCAGAAAGCCACGGCUAACUACGUG
rnacentral:rRNA from 1 species